GAUGAACGCUGGCGGCGUGCCUAAUACAUGCAAGUCGAGCGAACAGACGAGGAGCUUGCUCCUCUGAUGUUAGCGGCGGACGGGUGAGUAACACGUGGAUAACCUACCUAUAAGACUGGGAUAACUUCGGGAAACCGGAGCUAAUACCGGAUAACAUGUUGAACCGCAUGGUUCAACAGUGAAAGACGGUCUUGCUGUCACUUAUAGAUAGAUCCGCGCCGCAUUAGCUAGUUGGUAAGGUAACGGCUUACCAAGGCAACGAUGCGUAGCCGACCUGAGAGGGUGAUCGGCCACACUGGAACUGAGACACGGUCUAGACUCCUACGGGAGGCAGCAGUAGGGAAUCUUCCGCAAUGGGCGAAAGCCUGACGGAGCAACGCCGCGUGAGUGAAGAAGGUCUUCGGAUCGUAAAACUCUGUUAUUAGGGAAGAACAAAUGUGUAAGUAACUAUGCACGUCUUGACGGUACCUAAUCAGAAAGCCACGGCUAACUACGUG
rnacentral:rRNA from 1 species